CCCAUCCCGGAUGCUGACCUGAGGCUGGGGGGGCGGGGGUGGCAGGGAGGGGAUGGGGGUGUCGGGUUUCUCCUGGGGACGGAGAAUGGCAGCUCCCCACCUGGGAGCCCCCUCUCCUGCUGACGACGACCAGACCCCCACUGCUGUCUGGGGCCCUCAAAGCCACCACAGCCGCUACCUGUCCCCUCCAGGCCUCCAGCCUCUCAGCUAGGCGACCUGGGCCUGCGUGCCAACUGCUGAUCUCCUUCCCCUGGGAAUCGGCCAACCCCACCUGGCCACAGGCUCCUCGGGCACCCUCCCACACUGGUGUCUCUCCCUUCCCUCCCAGGACACCGGGACAGCCCUCACAAAUACCUUGUACUCCCCGGAGCCCUGGCCCUGGCCUCACCUGGCUGCCACCCCACAGGAGAAAACCACCCACUCAGGCCACCCUCCUCGCGGCCAGCCUGCACUUGGAGAGACCUACCUGGCAGGCAGCGCUUGAUCAAAGACCCCUCACCAAGGCCACAACACCUAAGACUCCUGAAGAAGGGGGUUUCACCAGCACCCAAGCCGGACCCGGGUCAGUAAACAAAUAUGCCUGAAGACACCGCACAGAGAGACUCUUUGUCUGGUGUCGGCAUUCAAGGAAACGCAGCUUCGUGCCAUCACGGCCCCAGAGUGGCGGCCUCAGACCUUCCUGACCCGACCCCUCCCACAGGCAGCAGGACAACGGGCAGCGUCCACGAGGGGGUUUUCGGGGCGAGUCUGCUCCCCACAAGGGCGCCCUUGUUCUCACAGAGGCCCGGCGGCCUCCGCGGGAGAUGGGAGUACUCGCUGCUCGCUGUGCAAGGUGUUAGACGCGAUCUGCACAGCAGCCCCUCUUUCCCUCGCCGCGGCGGGCGGUGUAGGCGCUGACAUCAAUGCCCGCGGUCACUCGGCGGGAAGUGGCUGAGCAGUGCUGGCCUCCUGCUCCCCCCGCCAGCCCCGGGGUGGGGGGGCGUCCUGAGCAGGACGGGGACGCCCGGCCGCCCAGCAAGCUGCAGACGGCUGGCCCGCUGCCUGGGGAGGACGGUUCCCCCCCCCCCGCCCCCCACCGGCUGAGUCAGGGGCCGCCUACCGCCCAGGCACCUCCCCCCGGCUCGCCAGCCCAGCUGGCAGGCACAGCUGGGGAGGGGGCUGCAGAGCUGGACGGGACACAGUUCACCGUGAGAGACAGCAAAACGGCAUUAUUUCUUAGCAUGAGAGUAUCUGGCCCAAAGGAACUGAAAUGCAGGCAAGGACUGGAACAGAAUCUCGCACGCCCCUGUGCACAGCGGCUGCCUCACAACGGCCGAAGGUGAAAACAACCCGUGUCCGUCCACGGAGAAGUGGGUCACAAAACGUGGCAGAGCCACAGGACGGAAUAGUAUUCAGCCUCAACGAGUAACAAAGUGCGACACCUGCUACGACGUGGAGGCACCCGACCUUGCCAACGCCGUGCGGAGUGAAAGAAACCAGACUUGAAGCAACAAAUACUGUGUGACUCCCUGUACGCGGAGGCCCCCACGGUCGUCAGAGUCACAGUGACAGAGCGGAAGGUGGGCGCCGGGGCCAGGGCGGGGCUGGGGAGUCCGUGUCCACUGGGGAGAGAGGUCCAGUGGGGGAAGAUGAGAAAAUUCUGGAGACGGAUGGUGUGGACGGUGCGUAUGUGCUUAAUGACCCUGACCUGUACACAAAAAUGGUUAAAAUGCUAAA